rnacentral:rRNA from 1 species
UUAAUGAGGCGAACCGGGGGAACUGAAACAUCUAAGUACCCCGAGGAAAAGAAAUCAACCGAGAUUCCCCCAGUAGCGGCGAGCGAACGGGGAGGAGCCCAGAGCCUGAAUCAGCAUGUGUGUUAGUGGAAGCGUCUGGAAAGGCGCGCGAUACAGGGUGACAGCCCCGUACACAAAAGCGCAUGUGCUGUGAGCUCGAUGAGUAGGGCGGGACACGUGGUAUCCUGUCUGAAUAUGGGGGGACCAUCCUCCAAGGCUAAAUACUCCUGACUGACCGAUAGUGAACCAGUACCGUGAGGGAAAGGCGAAAAGAACCCCGGCGAGGGGAGUGAAAAAGAACCUGAAACCGUGUACGUACAAGCAGUGGGAGCACCCUUCGGGGUGUGACUGCGUACCUUUUGUAUAAUGGGUCAGCGACUUAUAUUCUGUAGCAAGGUUAACCGUAUAGGGGAGCCGGAGGGAAACCGAGUCUUAACCGGGCGUUAAGUUGCAGGGUAUAGACCCGAAACCCGGUGAUCUAGCCAUGGGCAGGUUGAAGGUUGGGUAACACUAACUGGAGGACCGAACCGACUAAUGUUGAAAAAUUAGCGGAUGACCUGUGGCUGGGGGUGAAAGGCCAAUCAAACCGGGAGAUAGCUGGUUCUCCCCGAAAGCUAUUUAGGUAGCGCCUCGUGAAUUCAUCUCCGGGGGUAGAGCACUGUUUCGGCUAGGGGGCCAUCCCGGCUUACCAACCCGAUGCAAACUGCGAAUACCGGAGAAUGUUAUCACGGGAGACACACGGCGGGUGCUAACGUCCGUCGUGAAGAGGGAAACAACCCAGACCGCCAGCUAAGGUCCCAAAGUCAUGGUUAAGUGGGAAACGAUGUGGGAAGGCCCAGACAGCCAGGAUGUUGGCUUAGAAGCAGCCAUCAUUUAAAGAAAGCGUAAUAGCUCACUGGUCGAGUCGGCCUGCGCGGAAGAUGUAACGGGGCUAAACCAUGCACCGAAGCUGCGGCAGCGACGCUGAUGCGUUGUUGGGUAGGGGAGCGUUCUGUAAGCCUGCGAAGGUGACCUGUGAGGGUUGCUGGAGGUAUCAGAAGUGCGAAUGCUGACAUAAGUAACGAUAAAGCGGGUGAAAAGCCCGCUCGCCGGAAGACCAAGGGUUCCUGUCCAACGUUAAUCGGGGCAGGGUGAGUCGACCCCUAAGGCGAGGCCGAAAGGCGUAGUCGAUGGGAAACGGGUUAAUAUUCCCGUACUUGGUGUUACUGCGAAGGGGGGACGGAGAAGGCUAUGUUGGCCGGGCGACGGUUGUCCCGGUUUAAGCGUGUAGGUGUGUGUUCCAGGUAAAUCCGGUUCACUUUAACACUGAGGCGUGACGACGAGGCACUACGGUGCUGAAGCAACAAAUGCCCUGCUUCCAGGAAAAGCCUCUAAGCAUCAGGUAACACGAAAUCGUACCCCAAACCGACACAGGUGGUCAGGUAGAGAAUACCAAGGCGCUUGAGAGAACUCGGGUGAAGGAACUAGGCAAAAUGGUGCCGUAACUUCGGGAGAAGGCACGCUGACACGUAGGUGAAGUGAUUUACUCAUGGAGCUGAAGUCAGUCGAAGAUACCAGCUGGCUGCAACUGUUUAUUAAAAACACAGCACUGUGCAAACACGAAAGUGGACGUAUACGGUGUGACGCCUGCCCGGUGCCGGAAGGUUAAUUGAUGGGGUCAGCGNGUGUGACUGCGUACCUUUUGUAUAAUGGGUCAGCGACUUAUAUUCUGUAGCAAGGUUAACCGUAUAGGGGAGCCGGAGGGAAACCGAGUCUUAACCGGGCGUUAAGUUGCAGGGUAUAGACCCGAAACCCGGUGAUCUAGCCAUGGGCAGGUUGAAGGUUGGGUAACACUAACUGGAGGACCGAACCGACUAAUGUUGAAAAAUUAGCGGAUGACCUGUGGCUGGGGGUGAAAGGCCAAUCAAACCGGGAGAUAGCUGGUUCUCCCCGAAAGCUAUUUAGGUAGCGCCUCGUGAAUUCAUCUCCGGGGGUAGAGCACUGUUUCGGCUAGGGGGCCAUCCCGGCUUACCAACCCGAUGCAAACUGCGAAUACCGGAGAAUGUUAUCACGGGAGACACACGGCGGGUGCUAACGUCCGUCGUGAAGAGGGAAACAACCCAGACCGCCAGCUAAGGUCCCAAAGUCAUGGUUAAGUGGGAAACGAUGUGGGAAGGCCCAGACAGCCAGGAUGUUGGCUUAGAAGCAGCCAUCAUUUAAAGAAAGCGUAAUAGCUCACUGGUCGAGUCGGCCUGCGCGGAAGAUGUAACGGGGCUAAACCAUGCACCGAAGCUGCGGCAGCGAACGUAUCACCCAAGACAACUUUACGGAGUUGACGAUUGACGGAGCGAAGCGACGUCAAAGCGUUCAUUAAAGUCGAGUUGGCUUAGGGAUACGUUCGUUGGGUAGGGGAGCGUUCUGUAAGCCUGUGAAGGUGUGUCGUGAGGCAUGCUGGAGGUAUCAGAAGUGCGAAUGCUGACAUAAGUAACGAUAAAGCGGGUGAAAAGCCCGCUCGCCGGAAGACCAAGGGUUCCUGUCCAACGUUAAUCGGGGCAGGGUGAGUCGACCCCUAAGGCGAGGCCGAAAGGCGUAGUCGAUGGGAAACGGGUUAAUAUUCCCGUACUUGGUGUUACUGCGAAGGGGGGACGGAGAAGGCUAUGUUGGCCGGGCGACGGUUGUCCCGGUUUAAGCGUGUAGGUGUGUGUUCCAGGUAAAUCCGGUUCACUUUAACACUGAGGCGUGACGACGAGGCACUACGGUGCUGAAGCAACAAAUGCCCUGCUUCCAGGAAAAGCCUCUAAGCAUCAGGUAACACGAAAUCGUACCCCAAACCGACACAGGUGGUCAGGUAGAGAAUACCAAGGCGCUUGAGAGAACUCGGGUGAAGGAACUAGGCAAAAUGGUGCCGUAACUUCGGGAGAAGGCACGCUGACACGUAGGUGAAGUGAUUUACUCAUGGAGCUGAAGUCAGUCGAAGAUACCAGCUGGCUGCAACUGUUUAUUAAAAACACAGCACUGUGCAAACACGAAAGUGGACGUAUACGGUGUGACGCCUGCCCGGUGCCGGAAGGUUAAUUGAUGGGGUCAGCGUAAGCGAAGCUCCUGAUCGAAGCCCCGGUAAACGGCGGCCGUAACUAUAACGGUCCUAAGGUAGCGAAAUUCCUUGUCGGGUAAGUUCCGACCUGCACGAAUGGCGUAAUGAUGGCCAGGCUGUCUCCACCCGAGACUCAGUGAAAUUGAACUCGCUGUGAAGAUGCAGUGUACCCGCGGCAAGACGGAAAGACCCCGUGAACCUUUACUAUAGCUUGACACUGAACAUUGAGCCUUGAUGUGUAGGAUAGGUGGGAGGCUUUGAAGUGUGGACGCCAGUCUGCAUGGAGCCGACCUUGAAAUACCACCCUUUAAUGUUUGAUGUUCUAACGUGGACCCGUAAUCCGGGUUGCGGACAGUGUCUGGUGGGUAGUUUGACUGGGGCGGUCUCCUCCUAAAGAGUAACGGAGGAGCACGAAGGUUGGCUAAUCCUGGUCGGACAUCAGGAGGUUAGUGCAAUGGCAUAAGCCAGCUUGACUGCGAGCGUGACGGCGCGAGCAGGUGCGAAAGCAGGUCAUAGUGAUCCGGUGGUUCUGAAUGGAAGGGCCAUCGCUCAACGGAUAAAAGGUACUCCGGGGAUAACAGGCUGAUACCGCCCAAGAGUUCAUAUCGACGGCGGUGUUUGGCACCUCGAUGUCGGCUCAUCACAUCCCGGGGCUGAAGUAGGUCCCAAGGGUAUGGCUGUUCGCCAUUUAAAGUGGUACGCGAGCUGGGUUUAGAACGUCGUGAGACAGUUCGGUCCCUAUCUGCCGUGGGCGCUGGAGAACUGAGGGGGGCUGCUCCUAGUACGAGAGGACCGGAGUGGACGCAUCACUGGUGUUCGGGUUGUCAUGCCAAUGGCACUGCCCGGUAGCUAAAUGCGGAAGAGAUAAGUGCUGAAAGCAUCUAAGCACGAAACUUGCCCCGAGAUGAGUUCUCCCUGAGACUUAGAGUCUCCUGAAGGAACGUUGAAGACGACGACGUUGAUAGGCCGGGUGUGUAAGCGCAGCGAUGCGUUGAGCUAACCGGUACUAAUGAACCGUGAGGCUUAACCUU